AGGUUUUUAGAACAAGGCCUAAAAAACACUUUUCCAAAACAGUAUAAAAAGGAAAAUAUUUCGUUCAUGUCAACACUUGAAACCUACCGCUCUUACAGCUCUUCUAACAGUCUGCUUUAGCACAGAUCUAAUCGUCUAACUAUGGCUCCUGGCAUGAAACUCAUCUGUUUCGCAUUGGUAUUCCUCAUCUUGGGAUCCAUACUGGUACAAGAGACUUGUGCCAUGAUGAUGAAGCAUCGAGGCAACAGUGGAAAUGGUCUCGAGCAGCUCAUGGUUGCUGGGCUUAUUGCUAAGCUUUUCCAAGAGCAUCAUCACCAUUGUGGGUGAAGUCACCCCUAUUUUCCAGUCUCCAUUCGAAGAAGUACUGCCAAUGUGUAAAAAAGUCAUCACCUCAUAAAUGAAAUGUGUACAUAUAAUACUGUAAGCGAAUCAUUUCACUGCCAGGUGAAAUAUGUAUAUACUGUAACUCAUACCUUUUAGUGAAAAAAGAAGAAAUAAACGUUUUAUGUAAAAAUUAA